ensembl:processed_transcript
UAAGGUGCUUCCUACACCCACUUCCAGCUGGCCAAGUAGGACCAAGAUAAUCAUCACAGAGUAAGAGGAGAGGUGGGGAUGCCUCUCAGAUCUAAGUCUUCAAAGACAAACCAGCCGCACAUCCUGUAAAGAUUGUGUUUGUCUCCUGACUCUAGCAGACAGCACUGAAUGAGAUUCUUGGGACAGUUACUGAAAACUGGCAACAGAAGCAGAGCUGGGUUUAUUUCAGUGGGCAUGUUAAGAAGCUGGACCCUUUCCUGGAAAAUCAGCUCCAGUGGAUUAAGAGCUCAUUUAUGAAAAGUGAAACCACCACAGAGGCAGUGGCCAAGAGGGGUGAUGACAUCAAGGUUCCUAAAUAAGACACAAAACAUACUAGGCCUGCUUAUCAAACCACAACUAACAGCAGACAACGGCAGCCAAUAACCAACAUCAGUCAAUAACCAACCAACAACCCAACAACAGCCCACCUAUCAGGGCUCUAGCAUUUAUAUAAUACCGUCUGAAAAGUCUCCAGAAUUCCAGACACCCAUACACUCACAGAAACCAUCUGCAGCUGGCAAAAUCACACCCCUGCUAGAGCAUGAGGCAAAUCAUAGUCAGCUGUGGUGGACAGUCUGAAGCAGCCCCAUAUCCCACACCUAGGAUUAAGAAAAAAAAAUUCUUAAAUAUUCCUGUGUUUUUUUAAAGAAACCAAAACUCCCAAAUUGUCACUACAGAUAUUAUUUUAAGAUAAACAGGCAGAUUACAGAAAGAAUGAGUCUGCUUUGGUUUUAUUUUGAGAUAGGGUUUCUCCAUUUAACCACGGCACUCACCAGGCUGGCCUCAAACUCACAGAGAUGGCCUGCCUCUGCCUCCCAAGUGCUGGGAUUGAAGGCGUGCGCCAUCACCACCCAGCAAGUUUGGCUCUCUGCUCUACUUCACAAAUACACACUUCAUUUUGACCCCAAGUUUUUGACUCACACUUGGGUUCAUUUGGUCUGCUGCCAUUCAGGCCCAUACUUACAUACUUACAUACUUCCUGUCCCCCAAUGCCUAGCAGCAAACUGCACUUGGUAUAACCCUAGAUUUGUCUUUCUCUUCUUUUCAGUCUCACAGCACCUUGAGGCUCGUCCUUAUAAAUUGGGACUAGGUUGUUCUGCAUAGUAGUGCUGUGUGCACCUUCUUGGAAACCAGAGUGUCAGGAUUGAUUCUGCCGCUUCCUAGGCUGUGGUAACCACGUGACUCACUGCCUCACGCGUCCACACAGAGAAACCACCCCUGCUUAGCGCACCCUCAGCGCAGCCCUACGGCAGAAGUCACCAGUACCCACCUCUCUGGCCAGCCCAGUGAUGCCCCUCAGCGGUGAGACUUCAGCAAAGGUCCCCCAGGAAUGGGCUGGACUGUUGGCAAACCCCCUCAGGAACGGCUCUUCGGUGGUGGUCCCUCAGCAGCAACCUCUCAAGAAUGGUCCCUGGCGGCCGCCCCUUAGCAACAGCUCCUCACAAAUGACCCCUAGAAAGUGGUCCAGUAACUAGGUCGCCUCCCAGUAACAGAUCCUCAGCAACGGUUCCUCAGUACUGGCCCCGCAGGAUCAGCUCCUUAAGCCCCUUGACGAUGGCCUCUUAACGGCCCGACUGCCCCCCAGCCACCGUGGGUCUGAGGCUGCGUAGUUUGGGCGCGUAGCUCCAUGGCAACGGAAGGCUGCUUUGGGGUAGUGGGCGGGGCUGUGGCUGCAGAGGGAGAGCCUGCGCGCAGGCGUAGUGCAGCAGCGGGGGUGGAGUGGGGAGAGCGUCGCGGAGGGAAGAGCCUGACAUUGACUGUUGCCCAGAUGAUUCUCCUGGAGACUGGAGCAGGUGCUCGAUUACUUGUCUAAAGCCAGUUGAAACUUGGGUCAACUGCUUGGGUCAACUUAAAAGACCAUUUACGCAAAAGUUGGAAUCUCCUGCGUCUCUUGGAUCUGCAGUCUGGCUCUCCCAGGUCCUGUGCAGCCUGUGUUGUGCCCUCUAGAUGGUGACAUCUGACUCCUCUGUAUAACCCACAGGACUCUUUGGAUUGUGUUUGGUCGUUUAAGUUGGUGGUGUCACUAGUCCGGGCAGGAGGUGGGCUCAACAGUGAACAGGACAUGUUCCCUUUCCUCAGGGUCACAGGGAUGACUGGCAACUCCUGUAGUUUUGUCUUGGAGAUGGAGAGCUUUCAGCGUUAAGAAGUCCUCAAAAUAAUACAGAGGCUGUGGAAAUGUCAGUGGAGACCGGGGGUGGGGGGGUACCUCUGUACUCCCUUCAGAUACUUUGCCUCUCAGAAUUGUAAGCCUGUGAAAUACCACUGCAAUACUGUAUAGGCACAGGUGUCCUAUAAGUUUAGAGCAUUGUGUAUGGAAGCCUGAUGUCCUGUAGUAAAACAGUCUGGGAAAGACAGCCAGUUGGUAUGUAACCUUUAGCUGAGGGAGAAUGUGAACUGGGCCUCCUUACUCUGAGUUGUCCCUGGUAAAUGGCUGAGCAGAGAGGGUUGUAAGACAACCAUAUCCAAUGCUAAUAUUUGUGGUAUGAAGUAUAAUCCCCACUACAGUAAAACAAGUGAAUAAAUUGGUCUUCUCUUUC